rnacentral:rRNA from 1 species
CCUACGGGUGGCAGCAGUGGGGAAUAUUGGGCAAUGGGCGCAAGCCUGACCCAGCAACGCCGCGUGAAGGAAGAAGGCUUUCGGGUUGUAAACUUCUUUUAAGAGGGAAGAGCAGAAGACGGUACCUCUUGAAUAAGACACGCCUAACUACGUGCCAGCAGCCGCGGUAAUACGUAGGUGGCAAGCGUUGUCCGGAUUUACUGGGUGUAAAGGGCGUGAAGCCGGGAAGUCAAGUCAGUUGUGAAAGCCAGCGGCUCAACCGCGGAACUGCAUUUGAAACUGGUUUUCUUGAGUACCGGAGAGGUAAUCGGAAUUCCUGGUGUAGCGGUGAAAUGCGUAGAUAUAAGGAAGAACACCGGUGGCGAAGGCGGAUGACUAGACUGCAACUGACGGUGAGGCGCGAAAGCGUGGGGAGCAAACAGGAUUAGAUACCCCGGUAGUC